rnacentral:sRNA from 1 species
ACUUGGAGAAUUGAAGUCUAGGCUCAGAAGGAGUUUAGCUCAGGGUUAGGUUAUCCUGAUUAAAUCUAGACUCAGGGGAGUUUAGUUAAGGGUAGAGAUUAUCCUUAAGGUUUCACGUUUAUAGAAGGGAGCGGUAAAUCAAGAGGGGUGUGCUUGUUUUACGCGUUUGCGAAUUGGUUGUAAUUUGCUUUCUUGUUCUAGUGAAAUCGAAAUCUGGACGUGGUCCCGGGGAGUAGGAAAAACCGAACCUCGUUAACAAAUUUCUUGUCUCUUUACUUUCUGCACUUUAUUGUUACCUCAUCCGCACUUACAAGUGGUAUCAGAGCAGGUUCUUGAUAGAGAUUUAGUCUUGUUUCGAGUAGAUCAGGGUGAGGUUCCGGAGAUCGUUCAGAAGAUCAUUCAGGAAGUAAGACAGAGUUUGAAAUCAAGAUUGAUGGAGAUAUUGAGG